rnacentral:piRNA from 1 species
UUGUAACAUUUUAGCGUUUCACAAUCAGCCC